GAUGAACGCUGGCGGCGUGCCUAAUACAUGCAAGUCGAGCGAACGGACGAGAAGCUUGCUUCUCUGAUGUUAGCGGCGGACGGGUGAGUAACACGUGGAUAACCUACCUAUAAGACUGGGAUAACUUCGGGAAACCGGAGCUAAUACCGGAUAAUAUUUUGAACCACAUGGUUGAAAAGUGAAAGACGGUCUUGCUGUCACUUAUCGAUGGAUCCGCGCUGCAUUAGCUAGUUGGUAAGUUAACGGCUUACUAAGGCAACGAUGCACAGCCGACCGGAGAGGGUGAUCGGCGACACUGGAGGUGAGCCACGGUCCAGGCGCCUACGGGAGGCAGCAGUAGGGAAUCGGCCGCAGAGGGCGAAAGCCUGGCGGAGCGACGCCGAGUGAGUGGUGAAGGUCUUCGGAUCGUAAAACUCUGUUAUUAGGGAAGAACAUAUGUGUAAGUAACUGUGCACAUCGUGACGGUACCUAAUCAGAAAGCCACGGCUAACUACGUG
rnacentral:rRNA from 1 species